GGGGUGGUGGCGCAGUUGGCUAGCGCGUAGGUCUCAUAGCUUCUGAGUUAUCCUGAGUUCGAGCCUCUCUCACCCCA
rnacentral:tRNA from 1 species